rnacentral:lncRNA from 1 species
AAGGACAAGCUUUUUACUAAAGAUAUUGAGCCACGACCAAGUGCCACAUUCUACCCAAAUGAUGAGAGCAAGGACAGGUUUUUUACUAAAGAUAUUGAGCCACGACCAAGUCUCACAUUCUACCCAAAUGAUGAUACCAAGAACAAGCUUUUUACUAAAGAUAUUGAGCCACGACCAAGUGCCACAUUCUACCCAAAUGAUGAGAGCAAGGACAAGUUUUUUAUUAAAGAUAUUGAGCCACGACCAAGUGCCACAUUCUACCCAAAUGAUGGAAGCAAGGACAAGCUUUUUACUAAAGAUAUUGAGCCACGACCAAGUCUCACAUUCUACCCAAAUGAUGAUACCAAGAACAAGCUUUUUACUAAAGAUAUUGAGCCACGACCAAGUGCCACAUUCUACCCAAAUGAUGAGAGCAAGGACAGGUUUUUUACUAAAGAUAUUGAGCCACGACCAAGUCUCACAUUCUACCCAAAUGAUGAUACCAAGAACAAGCUUUUUACUAAAGAUAUUGAGCCACGACCAAGUGCCACAUUCUACCCAAAUGAUGAGAGCAAGGACAAGUUUUUUAUUAAAGAUAUUGAGCCACGACCAAGUGCCACAUUCUACCCAAAUGAUGAUACCAAGAACAAGCUUUUUACUAAAGAUAUUGAGCCACGACCAAGUGCCACAUUCUACCCAAAUGAUGAGAGCAAGGACAGGUUUUUUACUAAAGAUAUUGAGCCACGACCAAGUGCCACAUUCUAUCCAAAUGAUGAUACUAAGAACAAGCUUUUUACUAAAGAUAUUGAGCCACGACCAAGUGCCACAUUCUACCCAAAUGAUGAUGCAAACAAAAAGUUUUUUACUAAAGAUAUUGAGCCGCGACCAAGUGUCACAUUCUACCCAAAUAAUGAUAGCAAGAACAAG